GGACGAACGCUGGCGGCGUGCUUAACACAUGCAAGUCGAACGGAAAGGCCCUGCUUUUGUGGGGUGCUCGAGUGGCGAACGGGUGAGUAACACGUGAGUAACCUGCCCUUGACUUUGGGAUAACUUCAGGAAACUGGGGCUAAUACCGGAUAGGAGCUCCUGCUGCAUGGUGGGGGUUGGAAAGUUUCGGCGGUUGGGGAUGGACUCGCGGCUUAUCAGCUUGUUGGUGGGGUAGUGGCUUACCAAGGCUUUGGCGGGUAGCCGGCCUGAGAGGGUGACCGGCCACAUUGGGACUGAGAUACGGCCCAGACUCCUACGGGAGGCAGCAGUGGGGAAUAUUGCACAAUGGGCGGAAGCCUGAUGCAGCAACGCCGCGUGCGGGAUGACGGCCUUCGGGUUGUAAACCGCUUUCGCCUGUGACGAAGCGUGAGUGACGGUAAUGGGUAAAGAAGCACCGGCUAACUACGUG
rnacentral:rRNA from 1 species